rnacentral:rRNA from 1 species
UACGGAGGGUGCAAGCGUUAAUCGGAAUUACUGGGCGUAAAGCGUGCGCAGGCGGUUUGUUAAGUCCGCUGUGAAAUCCCCGAGCUCAACUUGGGAAUUGCAGUGGAUACUGGCAAGCUGGAGUAUGGUAGAGGAAGGUGGAAUUCCCGGUGUAGCAGUGAAAUGCGUAGAGAUCGGGAGGAACACCAGUGGCGAAGGCGGCCUUCUGGACCAAUACUGACGCUCAUGCACGAAGGCGUGGGGAGCAAACAGG